rnacentral:pre_miRNA from 1 species
UCAAUACUCCCUCCGUCUGAAAAAGCUUGUCCCUCAAAUAAAUGUAUCUAGCACCAAGUUAGUGCUAGAUACAUUCAUUUGAGGAACAAGCUUGGGACAAGCUUUUUCGGACGGAGGGAGUACCAA